CAAGGUAAUGCUAAGAGUUAACUUACUGAUUAAAUCCUUCCAUUUAAUAAACUAUAAAUAAACUACUGGCUCGCCUUCUCUUCAAUGUCAAGGUUUACGAUAUCCUACCAUAUUUGUCUAUGGUGCAUUGUCUCACUUUGAAGUUAUACCUUUUCUAUUGUAAGGGAACAUAAUGUCAGCAUACAUUGAUUUGCAUAGGCUGAUAAUUUGAUGCAUGACAGCUCAAUACUCUCAACAAUCAUCUAAGGUUCCCCGCGCUGGGCACCACGCCCGGGCGCAGUUCCCCAUGCAACGCGUGCCUGUGGAAUUUUUUAACGCUGCGGGCACGCGCCCGCGCACACUACAUGCUUCGCAAAAUUUUUUCCACAAGCGCACUGCCAGUUCGGUACCGUCAAACCGGUCCGAACAAAAACCAUACCGGUCCGGUAGGCAACCGGUACGUCUACCGAUGCCGGUACGCCAACCAAUACCGGUAUGCCUACCUUGCUCUAAAUAAAGAGGAAUAGUGAAUUUUAUUAUACGAGGAAGCGAAUCUUCAUAAACAAGGCUCGUUCCGUACUUGACUUACGAGCUUGUGUAG
rnacentral:lncRNA from 1 species